rnacentral:lncRNA from 1 species
UAACUUCGGCUUUUACGCCAUUGAUUUCUAACCAAACAAAUAACAGAACUAAAAUACUUCAAUUUCACAACUAUAUAAAUAAACGUAACUUUACCUUUGACCGAAACUCGAGCUUCUGAAAAUAUUUUAUAAUAAGCAACAUCAGCUUUUAUACCUAUUCACUUCUAACCAAAACAAACAAUAGAAUUGAGAUAUUUCAACUCCACAGCUACACAAACAAAUAGCAAAAAAAAAGAGUAAUUUUCACAUGAACUCUAAUUAAUUUGGAAGUCUACUUUUAUCUCACUUUUACUGUUUAGUUCACUGUAACUCCACGUUUUGUCGAAACUCAAACUUUUAAAAAUAUUUAAACUUCAGCUUUUACGUUAUUCACUUCUAACGAAAUAAAGAAUAGAAUUAACAUACUUCAAUUCCACAACUAUAUAACAAACAUCGGGAAAAAAAAACAUAAGUAAUUUUCACGUGAAUUCUAAUUGAUCUGGACGUCUACUUUACUCUCGCUUUUGCUAUUUAGUUCACCGUAACUCCACCUUGGAUCGAAACUCAAACUUUACAAAAUACUUUAUAAUAGACAACUUCAACUCUCAUAACAUUCACUUCUGACCAAACAAACAAUAAAACUAAAAUACUUUAAUUACACAACUAUAUCUAUACCUAUCUAUACCUCUAUGCCUAUAUAUUAUUCUCCGUAAAGUUGCCACAUGACAAUAUUUCCUUCAUUGUUGGAUAUGAGUUUCACCCCGAACAGCUCAAGUCUUUCACAUACUUUUCUCUUUUUUUGUUUGAACCGAACCAAAUUUUUUUCUUUCUUUAUUUAAACUGAAUCAAUCAUUAUUCAGUGAGCUCCCGGAACCGGCUCAAGUCCUCUACAUAUUUUUCUUUUUCUUUGCUUGAACCAAAUAGGAUUUUUCGCUUUUUUUACUUGAACCGAAUCAGGUCACCUCACUAUAUAUGGAGCCAAACUGUGCCUCUUCCAUUUCCUUCGGCUGUUACCUUCUUUCAUCGGCAAAAUGAAUCACACCUCAUAUUGUCUCUUCUUCUAUCGUUGUUCCCUCUUCCUUUGUCGCCGUUUUCUAUUUUUCUCUAAUUAUCUACCCAUUGUAUCGCACAGAUCACUAUACUAGUAUAUAAACAAACAGCGAAAGAGAUGUAACGUUUACAUAAACUCGAGCUGAUCUGAAAGUCUACUUCAAUCUGAACUUCACGACCAACCAGAAACUUUACUUCCAAUCUUUUCCAUAUAUACUUAUUAUUCUAAGCAUCAUAUAUUUCUU